AGAGUUUGAUCAUGGCUCAGAAUCAACGCUGGCGGCGCGCCUAACACAUGCAAGUCGAACGAGAAAGUGGAGCAAUCCAUGAGUACAGUGGCGUACGGGUGAGUAACACGUGGGUAAUCUACCUCUUAGUGGGGAAUAACCAGGGGAAACUCUGGCUAAUACCGCAUAAGCCUGAGAAGGGAAAGCAGCAAUGCGCUGAGAGAGGAGCCCGCGGCCGAUUAGCUAGUUGGUGGGGUAAGAGCCCACCAAGGCAGAGAUCGGUAGCCGGCCUGAGAGGGCACACGGCCACACUGGCACUGAAACACGGGCCAGACUCCUACGGGAGGCAGCAGUGGGGAAUCUUGCACAAUGGGGGAAACCCUGAUGCAGCGACACCGCGUGAGCGAUGAAGCCCUUCGGGGUGUAAAGCUCUUUCGUCAGGGACGAUAAUGACGGUACCUGGAGAAGCAGCUGCGGCUAACUACGUGCCAGCAGCCGCGGUAAUACGUAGGCAGCAAGCGUUGUUCGGAGUUACUGGGCGUAAAGGGUGUGUAGGCGGUUCUUUAAGUUUGGUGUGAAAUCUCCCGGCUCAACUGGGAGGGUGCGCCGAAUACUGAGGGACUAGAGUACGGGAGAGGAAAGUGGAAUUCCUGGUGUAGCGGUGAAAUGCGUAGAUAUCAGGAGGAACACCGGUGGUGUAGACGGCUUUCUGGACCGUAACUGACGCUGAGACACGAAAGCGUGGGUAGCAAACAGGAUUAGAUACCCUAGUAGUCC
rnacentral:rRNA from 1 species